GCCUUGCAUUUAAUAACCCUCUAGGGCUAAGACAGCUUUGUGUGUAAGUCCACUCGGUGCCAUAUGGCAGUUUUCAAUUCCUUUAGCAACUCAAUUCUAGCUAGACUGCCCGCAAUGAUUCAUUCUUAAAGGAAGACCCCUUGGGGCUCAGUAAUGCCCCCUCCACUUACCUAGCUCCCACCGACCCCGCUCGGCAGGCGGCUCGGGCUCCACAAAGAGCUGUGGGAUUCCCCGCUCCCUCCGGGGCUCCUCUCCCCGCGACGGUCCCCUUCGCCAAUGAUCUGUCGCUGGAAAUCCCCCUCCCCUCCACGGAGAGGAGGGUCUCCCCGGCUGGCUGGAGCUCUUGCCUUUUUUUUUUUUUUCCACCCUCUCUUUACAUGCCUGACUCUGGUUCACGAUCUCUAGUAGGAAGGCUCAACGGAGAGGCGGCGGGAGGAAGGAAGCUAAGGCAUCCUUAAAAAGAACAAUAAUCUUCAGAGAUCUUCACCCCCUUCCCCAUCGCGGGUCCCCAUUCCCCUGCCGCCGCCGGCGGCGCCCAGACCAGAGAGGGCUGGGAUAGAAAAGGAAAAAAAAUCGAGCCGGGCUCAGCUCGCCGCGCGGAAGGAGCCGGGAAGGCGAGCGGCUCCAGCCGGGGGAGUUGUCGCUCGCUCGGGCUGCCCGCGGCGCGGCGGCCGGCGGGGGCGCAGGGCGGUGGGUGCUUGGUGGGUGUGUGUCUGUGGCGGAGCCGGGGAGAGGCUGGGCGCGGGAGGCGAGGCGGGGCGCUCGGGGGCGCCGGCUCGGGCGCGCACACCCGCCCGCGGCCACCCCGCCUCGCGCUCCGCCUCCUCCCGCGCUCCGCGCGCCCGCGGACUGGAGCGGCGGCCGCCGCCGCCGCCGCCUUCUCCUCCUCUUCCUGGGCGCCCGCAGCUCUCGAGAGAACUGUGCCAAGUUCCUCCUUGGAGAGGCAGCCAGAUGGACACCCAGAACUUUCCGUAUCUUCGUGUCGAGGAUGAAAAUCUGGUUAAAACAAAUGUAGACGUUGACAAGCACAAUCUACAAAAAGGAGAGAAAAGGAAAAGAAAUAACCUAUUGGUGGUCCUCAAAGGGAUGGAGACUGCAACUCUAUACAGAAAAGAAAAAGGCAAAUGCACCUCACAGAGAACUGGGACACUGUGAAUCAUCUACUUUUGAAUUCUUAAAAUUGGAAAUUAGAAACUUAUGAAGGAUUUGUAGCUAUGCUUGGGAAAUAGUGAAUUUAAAUCUAUCUGUCCGUCUAUGUGCUGUGCUUGGUCGUUCAGUCAUGUCUGACUCUUUGAGGCCCCGUGAACUGUAGCCCACUAGGUUCCUCUGCCCAUGGAAUUUCCCAGGCAAGAAUACUGGAGACGGAGGAUCUUCCCGACUCGGGAAUCUAACCUGCAUCUUUUGCAUCUCCUGCAUUGGCAGGCAGAUUCUUUACCACCAGUGCCACCUGGGAGGCAUAUUUUCUAUGGCACUGUCCCAUUAAUUUAUUUAUUUGUAUAGUCAGUCAGUCAUUCUGGAAUAUUUUGAGCCUCUACUGUAUGCCAGGUUCUAUUGCUGUUCAUGGAUAAUGCAAAAGUGGGCAUGUUGGACAUGAUUUAUGUAUGCACGAAGUUUACAUUCUGGUGAAGGAGCAAACAGCCCACUCUUAAAAAAACACACAGAGAAAAAUGUGUAUUAAUAAGCGGUCUGAAGAAAUUAAUAGUUUGAGAAAGAAACUAAGAGAGGGUGACCUAUUUUUGACAGAGGGGUCAGGGAUAGCAUAAGAGUCAUAUCAGAUGAAAUUGGAAGUGGAGGAACCAUUCCAGAGAUGGUGGGGAACCAUUCCAGAGAGUAGAGAGGGCCAGUGGUGAUAAGGAGCAACAAGGUAUGGACACCUCUGUGGUGCUUGCUGAUUGGGUGAUGUGAGGUCAACAGAGAUUUAUUGGUUUGCUUUAAGGGAGAUAUUAGAGUCUACAAGUGUGCUGAUGAAAAAUGACCUGAUGGAAAUUGACUGGUGAGGCAAGAGUGUGUGCUUUACCGAGGGAGCAGAGCCCUUUGGAUAGUGAGGAUGUGUGGCUGAGUGGCUGUCAGGGAACAGGACUUGAUGGGAGGAGAACAUCCACCGAGGAGGAUGCAGAAUGUGAGUUGUGAAGCUCUGGUGGAAGGAAGGGGAGGGGCUCUGUGUCUGAUGGUUUCUCUUUGCUCAGUGAAAUAUGAGAGAAGAUGCAGCUGUGAGAGAGAGUUGUGGGGUUGUGUGAAAGAAACGAGAGAGAUGUGAAGUCACAUGGAGCCUCCCAGACAAACACUGACACUUUUGAUGUGGUUACAUCCCAUCAUUAUAGGAUGUUUAGCAAAUUCCCUGGUGGCUCAGGUGGUAAAGAAUCUACUUACAGUUCAGGAGACCCAGGUUUGAUAUCUGUGUCAAAAAGAUCCCCUACAUGGCAACCCAUUCCAGUAUUCUUGUCUGGAGAAUCCCAUGGACAGAGGAGCCUAGUGGGCUACAGUCCAUGGGAUCGCACAGAGGUGGACACAACUGAGCAACUAACACUUUCACACUAGCGAAAUCCUUGACCUGUACCAGGUAGAUACCAGCAAAACUUCCAUUGAGUCAUGGAAACAGAAGGUAUCUCUAGACAUUGACAUAUAUACCCCGGAGGAAAAAACUGCCUGUUUGAGAAUCACUGCCCUAAAGCUACCACCAAAAAAAGAAAGUAUAACUAAUAAGCCAUGGAGAAGAUGAAAUGGCGUAAGAAAUACUGGAUUAGUUCAAAAGAAGGUUGGAAACAAAGGGAUAAAGGAACAAAGAAUAGAUGAAACAAAUAGAAAACGACUGUGAAGAGGAUGGAUUUAAAUCCAAUUAUAGUCAUCAUUAUGCUAAAUUUAGGUGGUCUAAACAUCCUGAUUAAAAGACAAAGAUUAUCAAAUUGAAUCUAAAUGUAAGACUCAAUUAUAUGUGCCUACAGGAAAAUCCAAUUUAAAUAGACAGAUGUAGAUGUUAAAAGAGAAAAGACAGAAACUGUACAUAGCAUGGAAAAACUAAUUAUGAGAAAGCUGGAAUAAAUAUGUUAAUAUGAGACA
rnacentral:lncRNA from 1 species